UACGUAGGGCGCAAGCGUUGUCCGGAAUUAUUGGGCGUAAAGAGCUCGUAGGCGGUUUGUCGCGUCGGAUGUGAAAGCCCGGGGCUUAACCCCGGGUCUGCAUUCGAUACGGGCAGACUGGAGUGUGGUAGGGGAGAUCGGAAUUCCUGGUGUAGCGGUGAAAUGCGCAGAUAUCAGGAGGAACACCGGUGGCGAAGGCGGAUCUCUGGGCCGAUACUGACGCUGAGGAGCGAAAGCGUGGGGAGCGAACAGG
rnacentral:rRNA from 1 species